GGUGAACGCUGGCGGCGUGCUUAGGACAUGCAAGUCGAACGGCAGUCUUCGGACUGUAGUGGCGCACGGGUGAGUAACGCGUAACUGAUCUACCCCAAAGUCGCGGAUAACGAUUCGAAAGAAUCGCCAAUCCGUGAUGUGCUUUCCGAUUGUGUUCUGCUAGUUAAGAUUGAUUGUUUUGGGAUGGGGUUGCGUUCCAUCAGCCGGUUGGUGGGGUAAAGGCCCACCAAGGCGACGUCGUAUAGCCGGCCUGAGAGGGUGGCCGGCCACAGGGGCACUGAGACACGGGCCCCACUCCUACGGGAGGCAGGAGUUAGGAAUCUGCCACAAUGGGCGAAAGCCUGAUGGAGCGACGCCGCGUGAGGGAUGAAGGUCUUCGGAUCGUAAACCUCUGAAUCAGGGACGAAAGACACUUCGGUGGGAUGACGGUACCUGAGUAAUAGCACCGGCGAACUCCGUGCCAGCAGCCGCAGUAACAC
rnacentral:rRNA from 1 species